rnacentral:rRNA from 1 species
GGGGCUGCAUAUACUGCAAGUCGAGCGAGCUUGCCUAGAUGAUUUUAGUGCUUGCACUAAAUGAAACUAGAUACAAGCGAGCGGCGGACGGGUGAGUAACACGUGGGUAACCUGCCCAAGAGACUGGGAUAACACCUGGAAACAGAUGCUAAUACCGGAUAACAACACUAGACGCAUGUCUAGAGUUUGAAAGAUGGUUCUGCUAUCCCUCUUGGAUGGACCUGCGGUGCAUUAGCUAGUUGGUAAGGUAACGGCUUACCAAGGCAAUGAUGCAUAGCCGAGUUGAGAGACUGAUCGGCCACAUUGGGACUGAGACACGGCCCAAACUCCUACGGGAGGCAGCAGUAGGGAAUCUUCCACAAUGGACGAAAGUCUGAUGGAGCAACGCCGCGUGAGUGAAGAAGGGUUUCGGCUCGUAAAGCUCUGUUGGUAGUGAAGAAAGAUAGAGGUAGUAACUGGCCUUUAUUUGACGGUAAUUACUUAGAAAGUCACGGCUAACUACGUGCCAGCAGCCGCGGUAAUACGUAGGCGGCAAGCGUUGUCCGGAUUUAUUGGGCGUAAAGCGAGUGCAGGCGGUUCAAUAAGUCUGAUGUGAAAGCCUUCGGCUCAACCGGAGAAUUGCAUCAGAAACUGUUGAACUUGAGUGCAGAAGAGGAGAGUGGAACUCCAUGUGUAGCGGUGGAAUGCGUAGAUAUAUGGA